rnacentral:ncRNA from 1 species
CCUAUCCCCUGUGUGCCUUGGCAGUCUCAGUCCCCUAGAUGAGCAGUCCUUAAGGUGACUAUGGCGCGGGGAUCACCUCUUCCCAUUCCGAACAGAGCAGUUAAGCCCGCCAGCGCUGAUGGUACUGGGAUAAUACCUGGGAGAGUAAGUCGUUGCUCGUAUAACUUCGUAUAAUGUAUGCUAUACGAAGUUAUUACGAUUGCGCAAGUAGUGGCGAGCGAACGCGCAAGAGCCCAAACCUAACCAGUUACGGCUGGUUGGGGGUUAUAGGACCACGAUACUCGACUACAUUAUGAAUUUGAACGGCGUGGGAAAGCCGGCCAUAGAAGGUGAGAGCCCUGUAAGAGUAAAGUAAUGUUACGUAGUGGUAUCCUGAGUAGGGCGGGGUCGGAGACGCCCCGUUUGAAUUUGCCAGCACCAUCUGGUAAGGCUAAAUACUCCUGAGAGACCGAUAGUGAACCAGUACUGUGAAGGAAAGGUGAAAAAGAACCGUGAACAACGGGGUGAAAUAGAACCUGAAACCGUACGCCUACAAGCGGUCGGAGCCAAGUGAUUUGGUGACGGCGUGCCUUUUGCAUAAUGAGCCUACGAGUUACUGUCACUGGCAAGGUUAAGCGACUAAAGUUGCGCAGCCGGAGCGAAAGCGAGUCUGAAUAGGGCGCAUAGUCAGUGGGAGUAGACGCGAAACUUUGUGAUCUACCCUUGGUCAGGAUGAAGUUCCGGUAACACGGGAUGGAGGUCCGAACUAGUAAACGUUGAAAAGUUUUUGGAUGAACUGAGGGUAGGGGUGAAAGGCUAAUCAAACUGAGAAAUAGCUCGUACUCCCCGAAAUGUUUUUAGGAACAGUGUGGAGGUUAAGUUUAUUACAGGUAGAGCUACCAAUAGGACUAGGGGGAGUCACAUCCUACCAAAUCCUGAUGAACUCCGAAUGGUAAUAAAUAUACUCUGCAAUGAGGGCAUGGGUGCUAAGGUCCGUGUCCGAGAGGGAAAGAACCCAGACCUGCAGCUAAGGUCCCAAAAUCUACACUAAGUUGAACUAAGGCGGUUCAGUUGCUUAGACAGCCAGGAUGUUUGCUUGGAAGCAGCAAUUCAUUUAAAGAGUGCGUAACAGCUCACUGGUCGAGCGACAGAGCAUCGAUAAUAAUCGGGCAUCAAGUGUAGUACCGAAGCUCAGGAUUUGCAGCAAUGCAAGUGGUAGGGGA